AGUGAACGCUGGCGGUAGGCCUAACACAUGCAAGUCGAACGGCAGCACAGUAAGAGCUUGCUCUUACGGGUGGCGAGUGGCGGACGGGUGAGGAAUACAUCGGAAUCUACUUUUUCGUGGGGGAUAACGUAGGGAAACUUACGCUAAUACCGCAUACGACCUACGGGUGAAAGCAGGGGAUCUUCGGACCUUGCGCGAUUGAAUGAGCCGAUGCCGGAUUAGCUAGUUGGCGGGGUAAAGGCCCACCAAGGCGACGAUCCGUAGCUGGUCUGAGAGGAUGAUCGGCCACACUGGAACUGAGACACGGUCCAGACUCCUACGGGAGGCAGCAGUGGGGAAUAUUGGGCAAUGGGCGCAAGCCUGAUCCAGCCAUACCGCGUGAGUGAAGAAGGCCUUCGGGUUGUAAAGCCCUUUUGUUGGGGAAGAACAGCAGCAGGUUAAUACCCCGCUGUUCUGACGGUACCCAAAGAAUAAGCACCGGCUAACUUCGUG
rnacentral:rRNA from 1 species